CCAUGGACGCUGUGGAACCACCCGAUCCCAUCCCGAACUCGGAAGUGAAACGCAGCUGCGCCGAUGGUAGUGUGGCUCAAGCCAUGCGAGAGUAGGUCAUCGC
rnacentral:rRNA from 1 species